UACGUAGGGGGCAAGCGUUGUUCGGAAUUACUGGGCGUAAAGGGAGUGUAGGCGGGAGAGUAAGUUAGAAGUUAAAUACUCAAGCUUAACUUGAGGGCUGCUUUUAAUACUGCUUUUCUUGAGUAUGGGAGAGGGUGAUGGAAUUCCAGGUGUAGCGGUGGAAUGCGUAGAUAUCUGGAAGAACACCAGUUGCGAAGGCGGUCACCUGGCCCAAUACUGACGCUGAGGCUCGAAAGCUAGGGGAG
rnacentral:rRNA from 1 species